UACAUGGGGUGCAAACGUUGCUCGGAAUUAUUGGGCGUAAAGCGCGCGUAGGCGGUUACUUAAGUCGGAUGUGAAAGCCCUCGGCUUAACUGAGGAAGUGCACCCGAAACUGAGUAGCUAGAGUACGAAAGAGGGUCGCGGAAUUCCCGGUGUAGAGGUGAAAUUCGUAGAUAUUGGGAGGAACACCAGUGGCGAAGGCGGCUCACUGGACCGGUACUGACGCUGAGGCGCGAAAGCGUGGGGAGCAAACGGG
rnacentral:rRNA from 1 species